rnacentral:rRNA from 1 species
AAUGAACGCUGGCGGCGCGCCUAAUACAUGCAAGUCGAGCGAGAAGACGUAGCAAUACGUUUGUAAAGCGGCGAACGGGUGAGGAAUACAUGGGUAACCUACCCUCGAGUGGGGAAUAACUAGCCGAAAGGUUAGCUAAUACCGCGUACGCUCCUUGGACUUCGGUUCAGGGAGGAAAGCGAUACCGUGGGUAUCGCGCUCUUGGUUGGGCUCAUGUCCUAUCAGCUUGUUGGUGAGGAACGGCUCACCAAGGCUUCGACGGGUAGCUGGUCUGAGAGGACGAUCAGCCACACUGGCACUGCGACACGGGCCAGACUCCUACGGGGAGGCAGCAGUAAGGAAUAUUGCGCAAUGGGCGAAAGCCUGACGCAGCGACGCCGCGUGGGGGAUGAAGGUCUUCGG